rnacentral:rRNA from 1 species
ACGAACGCUGGCGGCGUGCCUAAUCCAUGCAAGUAGAACGCUGAAGAGAGGAGCUUGCUCUUCUUGGAUGAGUUGCGAACGGGUGAGUAACGCGUAGGUAACCUGCCUGGUAGCGGGGGAUAACUAUUGGAAACGAUAGCUAAUACCGCAUAAAAUGGAUUAUCGCAUGAUAAUCCAUUGAAAGGUGCAAAUGCAUCACUACCAGAUGGACCUGCGUUGUAUUAGCUAGUUGGUGGGGUAACGGCUCACCAAGGCGACGAUACAUAGCCGACCUGAGAGGGUGAUCGGCCACACUGGGACUGAGACACGGCCCAGACUCCUACGGGAGGCAGCAGUAGGGAAUCUUCGGCAAUGGACGGAAGUCUGACCGAGCAACGCCGCGUGAGUGAAGAAGGUUUUCGGAUCGUAAAGCUCUGUUGUAAGAGAAGAACGAGUGUGAGAGUGGAAAGUUCACACUGUGACGGUAUCUUACCAGAAAGGGACGGCUAACUACGUG